GACCAUGUAAACCUUAGACUUGUUAUGUUGACAUAGGCAAGACGAACAAACAGACGCAAUUCUCACUUAAAAACUGCAAUUUAGUCAGUCUUUUUAAUACUUUGCAUGCACUUUACAAACAGACACGAUGGAUUAAGUGAUUUAAAACCACGUUGAUGACCAUUACAAAUGAGGUUAAAUAGUUUUAUUAUUUGUUGUAUAUUUGCAUCCGACGCUACAUAAGAAUUUCUAAAGAACGAUAUAAUGUUCUGAACUAAGUGUCACUACAAAGUUGGAAAUUCUACAUAUUACGCAAACAUCUUGAAAUAAAUCCUAAUUGAUAAAAGAGUGAAACAUUUUCAGAACAAGUACUCUCCCCCGCCCACUUUAGCAGACAAGAGGACAGAGGAGUCGGAAGGUUUAACUUGCUGGAGGGGCAGCAGCUUGUUUGUAAAGGAUUAUACUCACUUCUUGGAUGGUCAAUGACAAUUACAUUUAGAGAUGUCCGGAGUCGAAACUCGCUGGACUUUGGUUCGAGUAAAUGGAUCUAAAAAAAAGAAGGUAUACGAAGGUACGAAAGGUGAAACUCGUAGGUCCCUGACUGCAUCUUCCCUUGCCUGGUUCUACAGUUUUAUGCUCCAGAAUUUGAAUGGAUGACUUUCAUUGUUUACUAAUGAAAAAUAAAACUUGUUUUCUUCAUUUUGUUAUUGAUGGCCAAACGAACAAAAUAAAAACA